GUAAAUGAAGAAAAACAGGAGAUGAGAGGGAACUACUUCCUCUUCUAAAGGGGGUCAAGUCCCCUCACUAACU
rnacentral:tRNA from 1 species